GCUUGUGUAGCGUCAGAUCCUUGAGUGAUAAAGGAGUAGAGGGAAAGGCACUCCUAGGGGACAUAAAAUUAGUGAUUACUUUGAGUUUGCUGGGGGAAGCGGGCCAGGAACCAGCCCUGGCAGAAGUGUUCCACCAGUUGCACGAUCCUCACCGCAACAUUCCUUAUCCAAUCCCUUACCGUGACGAGUAGCACAGCCCCUCUAUGGUUUAGAUGGCAGUGCUGCAAAGGAGGCAACAGAGGAGCAGUCUGCUCUGCCAAUCCUCACGUCAGUGAUGCUAGCAAAACCUCGGCUUGACACAGAGCAGCUGGCGUAAAGGAGAGCUGGCCUCUGCUUCACUUUUGUUUCAGCUCAGCAAAACAGUCCCUCAUCUACGGGAUCUGGCAACACAGAGCAUUCCUGCAGCUCCCAAAAACAGAUCUCCAUCCAGCACAGACAGACCCAGUCCAACCUCACAAUAGAAAAAAUAUCUGCACUAGAAAACAGUAAGAAUUCUGACCUAGAGAAGAGGGAGGGAAGAAUAGAUGAUUUAUUAAGAGCCAACUGUGAUUUGAGACGGCAGAUUGAUGAACAGCAAAAGAUGCUAGAGAAAUACAAGGAACAAUUAAAUAGAUGUGUGACAAUGAGCAAGAAACUCCUUAUAGAAAAGAUGAUGAUUAUUCCCCACCUUCUAAGAGACAAAGACCAACGAGCCACCACAGCCACCGGUCCCAGAACCCGCCAAUGCUGGGGAACGGAAAAUGAGGGAGUUCAACUCUGGCCCUCACAAUCCAGUGGAGGAGACGAAACUCAGCUGCCUCUGUCCCUCUGGGCACGCCUCAUGCCAGGUGCAUCUGUGGACAGGGGCCAUGCUCCUGGGCUUCCAAAGUUGGAGAAAGCUGCCAGGCUCAGGUCUGAAGGCCAGAAUUCUACAGUAAGUCCUACUCAGUCAAGGUGGGAGCAGGGUCAGUGGCUUCCGAGGCUCUGCGGGAGAAUCCGUUUCCUGGCCGUGGAGGUGGCCUGCACUCCUCAGCUUGUGCUGCCCGUCUCGAAUGACUGGAGUUUCCUGCUUCUGUCACUACACCUCCCACCCUCUCCAUCACCUGCUCUGCUCUUAUAAGGAUCCGA
rnacentral:lncRNA from 1 species